rnacentral:piRNA from 1 species
UCAAAGCAUGUGUGUAAUAUG